rnacentral:lncRNA from 1 species
CUCGUGGUGUCAAUGGAAACGCGAUAAGCCAAGGAAAAUUAAUAUCAUCAAACCAUAUUUCGGUUGCUCAUCAACCCAACCCAAAGAAAAAUCCGUUGAACCAACACAAGACAAGGUUAGCAUCAUCAAAACAUGACAAGACUGAGACCACGUGUCGGAUUCUCAUAGGCUAAGCAAUAGAGACAACCGCCCCAAGCCCGAGAGAUGAGGGCCUCGACUACAAAUUAUACAAGCAAAUACUAUCCAAGUAUACAUUACAUGUGAAAAAUUAUUAAAUGCAUAAAAUAAAGCCUUAAUUUGCACGCGGGAGUGGUUUUCGUGCACCCACACACAUUGCAUCUGCGGUGCACCCACGAUAAAAAAACUUCAAAAACAUUUUAAAAAUCUGAAACAUCGUGUAUGUGAUUAUGACCGAAUGUUUUAGGUGCUUGUAAAAUUUGGUGGCCAAAUGAUAUUCGAAGAGCUCUGCAAAAAAAAAACUUUGUGCUGAAAACAUGUCAAUAGUAGCAAGGGUAGAGAGCAUCAUUUCUAUUUUGUUUUGUCUGGAGAUCAUUUGAUGUUCUUUGGUGACCAAACUUUCUAAGCUCCUAAAACAUUUGUUCAUAAUAACAUCCAGGAAGUUUCAGAUUUUUUCUGUCUUUCUUUUGUUUGAAUUCACUGUUCACUGCAUGGUGCACCAAAGCUGAGUGCAGUUACUACUUUUUGUUUGGAGGAUCACAAGUUCACAAGCACACACUCAUAGUUUAUAGUAACAAAGACAAACCAAUCCGACUGGCAAGGUUUAGUCUAAAUACAUCAGUCUCUCUUUAUGAUGGAUGUCACUGUCACAAAAAAAUAA